UACGGGGGGAGCAAGCGUUGUUCGGAUUUACUGGGCGUAAAGGGCGCGUAGGCGGCCAGCGCAAGUCAGUUGUGAAAUCUCCGGGCUUAACUCGGAACGGUCAACUGAUACUGCGCGGCUAGAGUGCAGAAGGGGCAACUGGAAUUCUCGGUGUAGCGGUGAAAUGCGUAGAUAUCGGAAGGAACAUCAGUGGCGAAAGCGGCUUCCUGGACCAGAACUGACGAUCAGGCUCGAAAGCGUGGGGAGCAAACAGG
rnacentral:rRNA from 1 species